AGCGAACGCUGGCGGCAGGCCUAACAUGCAAGUCGAACGAAGUCUUCGGACUUAGUGGCGGACGGGUGAGUAACACGUGGGAACGUACCUUUUGGUUCGGAACAACUCAGGGAAACUUGAGCUAAUACCGAAUGUGCCCUUCGGGGGAAAGAUUUAUCGCCGUUAGAGCGGCCCGCGUUAGAUUAGCUAGUUGGUGGGGU
rnacentral:rRNA from 1 species